UCUGCUCUGUACAAAUAGAAAUCAGGAAACAAACCCAAACCCCAAGGUUGAUUUCUACAAAGAUGGAGAACUCAUCAGGAAUGAGACCACAGGAGAGAUGACCAUCCCUGCAGUAUCCAAGUCAGAUGAAGGCUUCUAUAAGUGUAAAUCUAAUGAAGGAGAAUCACCAGAGAGCUGGGUGACAGUGAGAGGCAUAACUCCUGGACCCUCUACAUCAGUCCUAGUAGUAGUGGUUGUGGGCCUGGUUGUUGCUGGUGUUCUACUGGCCAUUCUCCUGGUACUGCUGUGUCGAUAUAAAAACGCCAAAGGUUCCUGUUGUAACAGGAUAUUCUCG